UCCAGAAGCAGGUUGGAAUUUUCCUCCACAAAGUACUGUGUUCUUCUUUUCUUUUUAAUUGAAGUAUAGUUAAUUUACAAUGUUGUGUUAGUUGCAGGGGUACAGCAACAUGAAAAUAUAUCUUUCCCCUUAUAGGUUAUUACAGAAUAUUGAGCAGAGUUCCCUGUGCUACACAGCAGGCCCUGUUGGUUUUCUACUUUAUAUAUAGUUAAGGCGCUGUGUUCUCGACACACGAUCCCGCUCGUCUGCACAGCCUGUUCCUGCCGCGUGGGGUGGUGGCUAAACAGGGUUUCAGGAUCAGUGGGCGUUUCCGCUUCUUCUCAUGCACAUGGUGUUGGGGGUGCCUGGGUGAGGGCUGAGUAUUCCAGGUUGGGGUCUUUCUGUGGUCUCAGCUCCCUUACCCUGGCAUGUGGACUUGGGGGAGAUCAAGUGUGAGCUUCAGGAUGUGGACAGGAGGCCGGAGCUUUGCCCGUAAAUUACAGCAAAGUCUGAACUCGCAAGGGGACAAAGUGGCCACGACUGGUUUGGGCCCAGGGCCAGGGCCUCCACAGAGCAGGGGGCGAGCUGGGGACCCUCCCAGAGCCACUGCAGCCCGGCCUGUGCUUGGACGGCACGCAAGCUCUUUGCCGCUUCUUCUGAAUCAUGGAAACAAACGGGCCGGGCCAGGGUGGAAUAAAAGAAGCUGAGGAUUAGAGACAAUUUCAAGAGAGACACGAAUUAGAGAGUCGCAGAGGCUGACUGUGUCUGUCACGUUCUCUUUCGGUUCAAGUAUCAUCUCGCCGUCCCUCUCCUUGCGCCCGUGAGACCAGGGUGGCUGGCCUGGCAGCUUAGGCCUCUACCAGGAUGUCCGGAGGCAGGAAAGGCAGUGACGACCUGGAGCCGGGGGUGUGGACGAGGGGGGGGGCGCACAGGAGGACUGUGACCCGGAGCCCGAUGACUGGCUUUCUCCAUCCAGAUCGGGAAGGCGCUCGUCAUGACAGCAGCCCAUCAUUUUCCUGAAGGGCUGAACAUGAAGGACAGGGACACCCAAGAGCCCACAGGUUCCCAGGACUUGGGGUGGCUGUGGCUGACAACAAAAAAGAUAAAGCUACAUGACUGCGGAGAAGCUGGAAAACAACGUCAAGCUUCACGUCACCUACGAAUGUGAUGAGAUGCCUUCUACAUGUUCACUCAGAUCACUGGGAACAGAGCUAAAUAGGGUCAGGCUGAGAACUGAGAAUAUCCCUGUAAAGAAAUCACUGUGCAAGAGGACGUGAAUGGGCAUUCUUCGGAUCCUUACAGCUUUCAGUCCAUAAGUCUGAGAACAGCAGGAAACGAUGAGAAAGUGCAGUUUGUCAACGCAUUGGAUGUCAGUGACUCUCUAUUUGACCUUCGGCGAUCCUAACCGGGAUCAGUUCAGACUCCCUAUGAAUUGACCUCCCCCCAUAUUUUAUUAUUCAAGGACAUUUAAGGUUUUCCCAACUUGGUUAUGACAAAAGCAGAAACACACACACACACACACACACACACACACACACACACACACACACACACACCCGGGGUAAGAUAUGAUAGUCUAACACAAUUUUUCUAUGUAUUUUUAUAUUGUCUUUCCCUCCCUCAUUCUUAUGCAAGACUUUCCCCUCUUUCUUUCCUUACCUCGGUCCCUCCAGGAACUUUCGGCAUCUCAAGCUUCCACACCUAUUUCAAACCUUCACUGAAAUCAUUGUGUUGAGCUGACUGAGGAAUUGUCUGCUGGAGCAGAAUUAUUCAGCUCGGAUGCCCCAUCAGGACUUCACUUUCUUAUCUGCUAUUUUUGUGAGGGCCUCAAGUAUAAGCUAGACCUUCCUUAAUGUUCUCUUCUAAGCAUCAAAAAGUAGUAUCUGCUGACCUUUGUUCCUAUUGUAAAAACACUUCACUACUGUAUUACCUUGUCA